UAGCUCAAAGUAACAGUACCACCACCA
rnacentral:piRNA from 1 species